rnacentral:rRNA from 1 species
GAUGAACGCUGGCGGCGUGCCUAAUACAUGCAAGUCGAGCGAACAGACGAGGAGCUUGCUCCUCUGACGUUAGCGGCGGACGGGUGAGUAACACGUGGAUAACCUACCUAUAAGACUGGGAUAACUUCGGGAAACCGGCGCUAAUACCGGAUAAUAUAUUGAACCGCAUGGUUCAAUAGUGAAAGACGGUUUUGCUGUCACUUAUAGAUGGAUCCGCGCCGCAUUAGCUAGUUGGUAAGGUAACGGCUUACCAAGGCAACGAUGCGUAGCCGACCUGAGAGGGUGAACGGCCACACUGGAACUGAGACACGGUCCAGACUCCUACGGGAGGCAGCAGUAGGGAAUCUUCCGCAAUGGGCGAAAGCUUGACGGAGCAACGCCGCGUGAGUGAUGAAGGUCUUCGGAUCGUAAAACUCUGUUAUUAGGGAAGAACAAAUGUGUAAGUAACUAUGCACGUCUUGACGGUACCUAAUCAGAAAGCCACGGCUAACUACGUG